rnacentral:rRNA from 1 species
UAGCGAGACUGCCGGUAAUAACCGGAGGAAGGUGGGGAUGACGUCAAAUCAUCAUGCCCCUUAUGACCUGGGCUACACACGUGCUACAAUGGUUGGUACAACGAGUUGCGAGUCGGUGACGGCGAGCUAAUCUCUUAAAGCCAAUCUCAGUUCGGAUUGUAGGCUGCAACUCGCCUACAUGAAGUCGGAAUCGCUAGUAAUCGCGGAUCAGCACGCCGCGGUGAAUACGUUCCCGGGCCUU